rnacentral:rRNA from 1 species
UACGAAGGGGGCUAGCGUUGUUCGGAUUUACUGGGCGUAAAGCGCACGUAGGCGGUUUGUUAAGUCAGGGGUGAAAUCCCGGAGCUCAACUCCGGAACUGCCUUUGAUACUGGCAAGCUAGAGUCCGGAAGAGGUAAGUGGAACUCCUAGUGUAGGGGUGGAAUUCGUAGAUAUUAGGAAGAACACCAGUGGCGAAGGCGGCUUACUGGUCCGGAACUGACGCUGAGGUGCGAAAGCGUGGGGAGCAAACAGG